rnacentral:rRNA from 1 species
UACGUAGGGACCGAGCGUUGUCCGGAAUCAUUGGGCGUAAAGAGCGUGUAGGCGGCCACUUAAGUCCUGCGUGAAAUCUUGCGGCUCAACCGCAAGCGGUCGUGGGAAACUGGGUGGCUAGGGUGCGGGAGAGGAGAGUGGAAUUCCUGGUGUAGCGGUGGAAUGCGCAGAUAUCAGGAAGAACACCCGUGGCGAAGGCGGCUCUCUGGAACGCAACUGACGCUGAGACGCGAAAGCGUGGGGAGCAAACAGG